rnacentral:rRNA from 1 species
GAUGAACGCUGGCGACGUGCCUAAUACAUGCAAGUAGAACGCUGAAGGAGGAGCUUGCUCUUCUGGAUGAGUUGCGAACGGGUGAGUAACGCGUAGGUAACCUGCCUGGUAGCGUGGGAUAACUAUUGGAAACGAUAGCUAAUACCGCAUGACAACAGUUAUUGCAUGAUAACUGUUGAAAAGGGGCAACUGCUCCACUACCAGAUGGACCUGCGUUGUAUUAGCUAGUUGGUGAGGUAACGGCUCACCAAGGCGACGAUACAUAGCCGACCUGAGAGGGUGGUCGGGCAACAUGGGAAUGAGGAAAGGCCCAGGAUUCUACGGGAGGGCGCCGGAGGGAAACUUCGGCAAUGGACGGAAGGCUGACCGAACAAAGGCGCGUGAGUGAAGAAGGUUUUCGGAUCGUAAAGCUCUGUUGUAAGAGAAGAAAGAGUGUGAGAGUGGAAAGUUCACACUGUGACGGUAUCUUACCAGAAAGGGACGGCUAACUACGUG